rnacentral:rRNA from 1 species
AUGGCGAACGAGCAGCCGGCGGAGACCUACACGGUGGAGGAGCUCGUGGCGGUGAACCCCUACAACCCCGACAUCCUCAACGACCUCGAGGUCUUUGUCAACGACCAGGUUUCUUCUAAAACAUAUAACCUGGAUGCAAAUCUCAGCCUUCUACGCCUUUACCAGUUUGAGCCAGAAAGGUUGAGCGUGCAAAUUGUAGCCCGCAUAUUGAUUAAGGCUCUCAUGGCAAUGCCGGCCCCCGACUUCAGCUUAUGCUUGUUCUUAAUUCCUGAACACGUGCAAAUGGAGGAGCAGUUCAAGACGUUGAUAGUUCUUUCUCACUACCUGGAGACUGGUAGGUUCCGCCAGUUUUGGGAUGAGGCAUCAAAGAGCCGUAACAUACUGGAUGUUGUACCAGGUUUUGAGCAGGCAAUCCAAAGCUAUGCGAUUCAUGUGCUUUCCUUGACAUACCAGAAAGUUCCUAGGCCAGUUCUAGCCGAGGCCAUCAACAUUGAAGGGCUUGCGUUGGACAAGUUUAUGGAGUAUCAUGCUGCAAACUCAGGAUGGGUCAUUGAGAAGGGAUCACGCUCCCAACUGAUUGUCCUUCCGCGCAACGAGUUCAAUCACCCCGAACUCAAGAAGAACACAGCCGACACUGUUCCGUUCGAGCACGUGACCCGCAUAUUCCCCAUCCUGAGCUGA